UUAGGAUGAAACCUUCCUGAGCGACUCGUGAGGUAAGAAAG
rnacentral:rRNA from 1 species